UACGUAGGGUGCGAGCGUUAAUCGGAAUUACUGGGCGUAAAGCGUGCGCAGGCGGUUUUGUAAGCCAGAUGUGAAAGCCCCCGGGCUCAACCUGGGAAUGGCAUUUGGGACUGCAAGGCUGGAGUUUGGCAGAGGAGACUGGAAUUCCUGGUGUAGCAGUGAAAUGCGUAGAUAUCAGGAGGAAUACCGAUGGCGAAGGCAGGUCUCUGGGCUAUAACUGACGCUCAUGCACGAAAGCGUGGGGAGCAAACAGG
rnacentral:rRNA from 1 species